UGCUAAAGGCCUGAGGGUGGAAGCUAUU
rnacentral:piRNA from 1 species